rnacentral:pre_miRNA from 1 species
CUUGUACUCCCUUCGUCCGAAAAUACUUGUCAUUGAGAUGGAUGUAUCUAGAUGUAUUUUAGUUCUAGACACAUCCAUUUUGAUGACAAGUAAUUCCGUACGGAGGGAGUACUUG